rnacentral:misc_RNA from 1 species
ACAAGUUUGAGUAAAGUAAUUUUCAUGGAUAACCAUUAUCAUCUUUCCUAAGCUGACCAUUGGCACUGACCAGAUCUCAAAAUAGGGACAAGCUCACCCACAGAAAAAUAUAUCACCUCCAAAUUUUUAGCUACGCUAGAUUUCAUGAGGGGAAAAUAUAAAAAGGGGGAUAAUAACAAAGAAUAUAUUCCACAAAAAGCAUUUGAUAUGCCAGAAAAUUCAGGAACAAAGCUUAUGAAAAGUACAAAAGUUUCUGCACAACCCUUUUAUGUUUGGUUCAAAAACAUCAGUGAAUUUGAGUUGGAACACCAUUAACUGGGGCCUGGGGCCCAUGCUCGCUGAUUAGUAAAGGAGGUUUGGAUUUUGUAUUUCAAAAAGGCUUAGGGUUUGAUCUCAACCUGGUGGUGGCCAUUAUUCAUUUAGAAUUUAAAUAGUUUGAUCGAUGCAAUUCUUCAUCAAUUAUCGGAGGUGGUAUACUCCAUGUUCCAAGAGGAUGUCCAGAGAUAUUCCCACCUAUUUUUUAAGUACAUUAAACAAAUCAAACCUGAGAAUUAGUCCAAAUUAUGAUGCAAACUUUGAUAAAAAGAAUUUACCUUCUUUAGUAGCUUCCUCGCAUCUCCUCUGGUAACUUGAGCACAGUUGUGGGUCCAAAGUUUUCAGCAAAGAGUCAUACUUCUCUUCAGCCUCGGCAAUGUACUUUGCCUGAAAAGGACAAACAGAAAAUCUAUUUCUACAGAAUAUUUCUGGGCAAUCGAGUUCAUGUUUCAUUACAGCUAGUUUAGCAACCUGUCUGAAUCAAUCUGUGAAAAAAAGACUUGGCAAGAGGUUCUGCCUUUGCAUCCGAACCAACCUAGACCUACCUCCAAAGUGGGUUGAACUUGAGAUUUACAUAUGCUAUUCAGCUGGGGGCACUAGUUAAUGAGCUAGGCUCUAUCAUUUGGCCUCAGCUCAGGCCCCAAAGAUAUUCUGGUUCAAACUUCAAACCAGACAUUAAACAAAUCCAAUCACAAUUAAUUCAUUGUGAAACUGAAUAGACAUUGAAUGAUUUCCAAAAAUUAGGAAAACAGAUAUUGAUUAUUCGUCCAUCAUUAGUUCCAAAAAAGUUGAGCCAUAACAAUGACAUGUUAUGGCUUUGCCAAGGCUUAUCAUAUUCCAAAAUGAGUUCAGACUUCAGAGCCUAGUAUCUAUCCAGUAAGUAUUUGCCUCAAUACAAACUUGCAAAAGCAGAACUCUUUCUAAGACAAAUAAAAAGUGAGGACAGCCCUACUACAAGACUUGUUCACAUUCGCAUUUGAAAGAUAGUCAUAUGACAGCAAAACUCAUGUUCCAAACUGCGAUAAAAUCCUCUAGGCAAAAUUUAUGUUCCAAACGGAGAUAUAAUUCUCUAUUAAAAAUAGCAUAAAUUUCACCCACUGUCUAAACAUAUUUGUAUCACAAAACUCCUUGGACUUCAAUUUGAUUAUCACUAAAAUCCUUCUUGCUUGACGCCAAUUACUUUUCUGGUGAGACAGAGACAUGGAAAUCCACCUCAGCAUAUUUUAUAGUUUUUUUUUUUUAAUUUUCAUUAAUUUAUUCACUCUCUCCUCUCACUUUUCUUCUUUCCCAUCUCUCUCCUGCUAUUUCCUCCUUCUCCCUGUAUCCUCGCUCUUCUUCCCCUUCCUACAUCCUUUUCUCUGGCCUUCAAAAAAAAUAUAUGAAAAAUUUUGCCCCGAUUUGCACUCCGAUGGUUUCAAAAAUUUCCCAGCAAAAGGAUAUCAAUUUCAUUAAUCAUCAUUUUAUCCUAGACUUCCACAAAAAAAUAAGAUUAAUAAGCAACAAAAUAGAGAGAAAUAAGCAAUUAUUUCAAGGAUUUUCCUUUUCUGUUCCCUUUCUUGCUUUAAAUUUUCGGUUAUUGCAAGUUCUAAUUCCUAUGGUUUCACUCUCCCUCUCUCCCAUGUUAGAGUCUCAUUUUCCUUUUAUUUUUUCCCUCUAUCAAAACAUUCUUGAUUCCUUUAUUAUAUAUAUAUAUUUUUUCACCUUUAUCCACUUCUCCCUCUUUCUCAAUACAAUGCCCAAAAUUAUUCCCUA